rnacentral:rRNA from 1 species
AUUGAACGCUGGCGGCAGGCCUAACACAUGCACGUCGAGCGAGCGGCGGACGGGUGAGUACUGUCUGGGAAACUGCCUGAUGGAGGGGGAUAACUACUGGAAACUGUAGCUAAUACCGCAUACCAUCAGAUGUGCCCAGAUGGGAUUAGCUAGUAGGUGGGGUAAUGGAUCACCUAGGCGACGAUCCCUAGCUGGUCUGAGAGGAUGACCAGCCAAACUGGAACUGAGACACGGUCAAGACUCCUACGGGAGGAAGCAGUGGGGAUUAUUGCAGAAUGGGCGAAAGCCUGAUGCAGCCAUGCCGCGUGUGUUAAGAAGGCCUUCGGGUUGUAAAGCACUUUCAGCGGGGAGGCGUUACCCGCAGAAGAAGCCACGGCUAACUCCGUGCCAGCAGCCGCGGUAAUUC